rnacentral:rRNA from 1 species
GUGCCAGCCGCCGCGGUAAUACGGAGGGCGCAAGCGUUGUUCGGAAUCAUUGGGCGUAAAGCGCGUGUAGGCGGCUUGGCAAGUCGGGUGUGAAAUCCCGGGGCUCAACCCCGGAACUGCAUUCGAUACUGCCUCGCUAGAGUCCCGGAGAGGAGGGCGGAAUUCCCGGUGUAGAGGUGAAAUUCGUAGAUAUCGGGAGGAACACCAGUGGCGAAGGCGGCCCUCUGGACGGUGACUGACGCUGAGAUGCGAAAGCGUGGGGAGCAAACAGGAUUAGAUACCCGGGUAGUCC